rnacentral:rRNA from 1 species
AGGAUCGUUACCUAGAGUUUGUGGACUUCGGUCUGCUACCUCUUACCCAUGUCUUUUGAGUACCUUCGUUUCCUCGGCGGGUCCGCCCGCCGGUUGGACAACAUUCAAACCCUUUGCAGUUGCAAUCAGCGUCUGAAAAAACUUAAUAGUUACAACUUUCAACAACGGAUCUCUUGGUUCUGGCAUCGAUGAAGAACGCAGCGAAAUGCGAUAAGUAGUGUGAAUUGCAGAAUUCAGUGAAUCAUCGAAUCUUUGAACGCACAUUGCGCCCCUUGGUAUUCCAUGGGGCAUGCCUGUUCGAGCGUCAUUUGUACCUUCAAGCUCUGCUUGGUGUUGGGUGUUUUGUCUCGCCUCCGUGCGCAGACUCGCCUUAAAACAAUUGGCAGCCGGCGUAUUGAUUUCGGAGCGCAGUACAUCUCGCGCUUUGCACUCAUAACGACGACGUCCAAAAGUACAUUUUUACACUCUUGACCUCGGAUCAGGUAGGGAUACCCGCUGAACUUAAGCAUAU